AAGUCGCAACAAGGUUUCCGUAGGUGAACCUGCGGAGGGAUCAUUACCGAGUUUCCUGCACAGGAACCUCCCCACCCUUGACUAAUUCCGACGUUGCUUCGGCGAGACGUUGGAAACCAGGCCGUUGGCGGAAGAUCAAUUCUGCCGGCGCGGGCUCGCCGGAGUUCUCUACUCUGAAUUUGUAUCGUCAGAUAAAACAAGCAAUGAAAAAA
rnacentral:misc_RNA from 1 species